rnacentral:rRNA from 1 species
GAUGAACGCUGGCGGCGUGCCUAAUACAUGCCAGUCGAGCGAACAGACGAGGAGCUUGCUCCUCUGACGUUAGCGGCGGACGGGUGAGUAACACGUGGAUAACCUACCUAUAAGACUGGGAUAACUUCGGGAAACCGGAGCUAAUACCGGAUAAUAUAUUGAACCGCAUGGUUCAAUAGUGAAAGACGGUUUUGCUGUCACUUAUAGAUGGAUCCGCGCCGCAUUAGCUAGUUGGUAAGGUAACGGCUUACCAAGGCAACGAUGCGUAGCCGAACUGAGAGGGUGAUCGGCCACACUGGAACUGAGACACGGUCCAGACGCCUACGGGAGGCAGCAGUAGGGAAUCUUCCGCAAUGGGCGAAAGCCUGACGGAGCAACGCCGCGUGAGUGAUGAAGGUCUUCGGAUCGUAAAACUCUGUUAUUAGGGAAGAACAAAUGUGUAAGUAACUAUGCACGUCUUGACGGUACCUAAUCAGAAAGCCACGGCUAACUACGUG